UCUCUCUGUAACCACCGAAAUACCAUUUAACGAUAAAUAGCAGUAUCUGCAGGGCAUGGUCCUUUUGCUCUGUGUGUGCGUGCAGUGCACAACUGCUGGAGAGAGGUUUUAAAAUCAGAAUAUGAAGGUGUUGGAAUGGACCUUGCAGAUCAUCCUGUCCAACCUCCCUUGCCUCCCUCUAGACCUGGUUUCUCCAGCCUGGCUUUGAACACUGCCAAGGUUGGGGCAUCCACACCCCACCCUGGGCAACUUGUUCCGGUGUAUCACUACCCUCACAGUAAAAAAAUUCCCUAAUAUCUAACCAAAGUUUCCCUUCUUUCAGUUGGAGCUCAUUACUCAUUGUCCUGUUACUACAGCUCCUCAGAGGCCCUCUCUGGCUUCCCUGCAGGCCCCCUCCAGACACUAGAAGGUUGUUGUGAGAUCUCCACACAAUCUUCUCUUCUCCAGGUGAACAGUCCCACCUUUCCCAGCCCGUGUUCACAGGGGAAUCUACCCUGGUGAAGUGCUCCAGUUCUCUUAUUAGCUUCAUGGCCUUCCUCUGGACUUGCUCCAACACUUCCAUGUCUUUAUAUUACAGGCCUCUCUUUUGCCUUGAAAGUCACUGUUGGCAGUCAAACCUAAAAUACAAAAAUUGGUUUUAUUCAGUUAUCAAAAUAUUAUCCUAGCAAUAUUUCUCUGAAUAUGUUGUUCAAGUUGGUAUGAAUAUUGACAAGAUUUGAUUUUAGCUGAAUCCUGCAGAAAGCAGAUGCGUAUACGUAGCUGUUCUAGGCUGCAGUGUUCUGCAGUGUGCAAUGUAUGUGCAUAAACACAGGAUCUUCACAGUGCCCAAACCAACAGCACUGUGUUCUGUUUUUAGGAAAGAAUAUAUUAGAAAGCAACUAGUGCCUACUGGCAUAAUUUUUUCUGUCUAAAACUCUAAGAAAGAGGAUUCAAUUUUAAUACUAAUGACUAAUAUUAUUUUUGUUAUAACGUUUCUUCUUAUACCAUAAGUUCUUAUGCAGUGAACCAUGUCUAUAUGAUCUGAAGAUUUUGAAAUUAGAUGCUUAAUUUAUCUAUAAAAUAUAGCAGCAGUUGUUUUCUUUUUCCUAUAUCAAAAUAUUUCACUUCCAUACUGUUUCUUAUUAAUUUUAAUGUAUUUCUGUGUGCCAAAUGGAAAUGCCAUUGCUCUAUUGCUAUUCUAUGCAAUGCAAUAAAGGCUGAUAGUGUGCUGUAUUAGAUUAGUCUAAUUUUUCCUAUAGAUAGAUUGUUUUCAGAUAGGUAUGAGCAUUAAUGCCUUAUAUACUGCAUUUGACUCACCAGUACUCUAAUUUAAGGUUAUCUUUAAAUUCAAACAAUUUGUUGUAUUUCUUAGUAGCUACCCAAAAACUUCAUCAGCAUUGCUUAUAUCUUAAAAUGUUAUAAUAUGAACUGGGGUUUUUUUGAUGUGAUUUUUAGUUUUGUUAGGUGAAUAGGAUACUAAAUACAAAGAGAAAAUAAAAAUAUGCUGGAUCAGCAGAAGUAUAUAAACAGGUAUAAUGUCCUACUGAUUGGCGCAUCUCUUCUUUUUCCAUAUCAGACCUUAAACAAUUUGAACUAGAAUUCUUGACUACCUUGAGACAUAGUCAGAUACCCAAUUUGAUCUAAGUUAAUAUAAUCAUUCACAUUUCCACUUUUGAUCAAAUCAGAAAUCAUAGGAAAAGAAUGCUUUUAUGAGCUGUUUUGAGCAGAGGUGAACUAACAUGCCAACUUUGCAAAUAGCUUCUCUCUUUUCAAGUAAUAAAGCAAAUGUUAAGGAACUAGACUGUUUCAAAGGACUUUGGAAGAUUGUCAUACUUUUAUUUUUUUUCAAAUAAAGUUUGCAAUAGCUAUUUUUAAAUGCUAUUAAAGAUGACUUUUAAUAAUAUCUGUGUAAUGUUUGCUUGUUUAACAAUACAGCUACUUGUAGUAAAUCACAGUUUCUGUACACUGCUGACCACUACCCAUCCUCAGCACUUUUUAGAGGUUUCCUCAUCUGUGUUUUAAAGCUCAGAAUUUAAUAAUAUAAAUAAAAUUUUCAAAAAGUAUUACAACAGUGGCUUCCCUGGUUAGGCUGUAAACAGUCACCUCAAUUUAAAAGUCUACUAUUUUGUUUAACAUGAAGUUAUUGCAAAGUUUGCUGGUAUCUGUAAAAGAGGUAGCAUAAAUAGUCUUGUGUGAUGAGAUCAGUUCAGGUAGGCCCCUUGUGGUCAUGGAGAACACGAGGAACUGUACUUUUGUUGAAAAGGAGAAAAUCAUCCAGAUACAGAGCUAAUUGCUGAAGUGAAAGUAAAAGAGCACCAAGAAAUUUUUAUGUCAAAAUAUUUUAUGCAAAUGUAAUUGAAUUGAUGUGCAGAAUUUUUUUUGGGUGACCUGCUAUUUUAAGUGCCAUUUUUCAUGGUUUAGAAGUUUGGUCUCCCUGACACUGUCUUUUCCUAAUUUUCUUCAUAAUUCUCUUGCUGUUCCUUCUGCCUGAAAGCUUCCUGGCCCAUUUCAGCUCUGAGGUCAGGAUCUGCUCAGCCUGACUUACCUCUACUGCCCUGACCACCUCUCCUAUAAGUUCAGUGGCCAUUUUUGUGCUUAUGUGUCACAGAUACUUCCGAGCCUUUAUGACCUGUCAAGACUAAAAUCUUCUCUGUUCUCAUGGAGAAAUAGCUAUCAGCUCAAAUCCAGAAUGAGUGAAAAACACUUGGAAUUUGUCAGCACAGAUUUAUGAAGCUGAAAUAAUCUGUAACCAACCUAAUAGCUUUCUGUGGUAAGAGAAUUGGCUUUAUUAAGGCUUUCUCUCAUAAUUUUUUUCUGUUUCAAUAUUGAUAAUAGUCCUAAACAAAGCAAAUUUGGAACAUGAGAUAUUCUGAUGAUAGAUCAGUCUCUAGAAAAGUGGCUUUGGAGCAAGCUAAAUGUAGAAUGGUAAAAUGUAGAAGCAACCAGAGCUUAAGUAUAAAUAUUUGUUCAGACAUACAUACCAUCCCUUCCUACACAAGAAGUGUCGGGCAGAUGAGUGUGUAAGUAGUGCGUGAGUGGUGAUUCAUCUUUCUCCAGCCCCGUGGACACUUUAAAAGAGCUGUGAGCCCACGCUGAGGAUGUGCUCGUUGGUGGUGCUCACGCUCAGGCCGCAGUACCCUGCUCCUCAUGCUGUGCCAGCACAGCACACGCCUGCCCAGCCCUAGCUGGGUGUGCAUGUCCGAAAACCAGCCACGAUCCUAGGCAUGGCUACUUAGCUGCCUACCAGGGAGACUGUAUGGAUUUUCCUGGGGAGUCUUCUGGCUCACACUCAUGGAAAGGGAGGACUGAGCUGAUGGAUACUUUAGAGCUCUCAAAUGGAGACUGUCAGUUCAGCAACCUUCGGUGGUUUCCUGAGUUGCAGAAAACAUACACUGACCCUCUGAGGUCUCCAGGAAAGCCUUCUGGAGGAGUCCUGUGGUGUCUCUUGAUGCCUUGGUUGCUCUAUGGAUGCCUAUCCAUGGG